UUUUCGAAGCCGCUGAUGGACUUGGAGUUGGGCGUCUGCCGGUCACACGGCUCGCCUUAAAGACGUUAGUGGGAAAGGUAGCCCAUGGCUUGACGUAAUAAGUUUCGUCAGACCUGGCCGCCUACGCCUGCUCACAACCCGCCCUCGGGCAAUUCUUUAUGCUAGACCUCAAAUCAGGUAGGACUACCCGCUGAACUUAA
rnacentral:misc_RNA from 1 species